AAAUUGAAGGGUUUGAUCAUGGCUCAGAUUGAACGCUGGCGGCAGGCCUAACACAUGCAAGUCGAACGGUAACAGGAAACAGCUUGCUGUUUCGCUGACGAGUGGCGGACGGGUGAGUAAUGUCUGGGAAACUGCCUGAUGGAGGGGGAUAACUACUGGAAACGGUAGCUAAUACCGCAUAACGUCGCAAG
rnacentral:rRNA from 1 species